rnacentral:piRNA from 1 species
UCUGUACACUGAGUCAAGUUGACAAGGGU